GGAGGUGAGGACAGAGCGAGGAGAGAGGGGUGAGGACAGAAAGAGUAGUGAGGUGGUGAGCAUAGAGGGAGAAGAAAGGGGGUGAGGACAGAGGGAGGAGAGACGGAGUGAUGAUAGAGGGAGGAGAGACGGAGUGAUGACAGAGGGAGGAGAGACGGAGUGAGGACAGAGGGAGGAGAGACGGAGUGAGGACAGAGGGAGGAGAGACGGGGUGAGGACAGAGGGAGGAGAGAUGGAGUGAUGACAGAGGGAGGAGAGACAGAGUGAGGACAAAGGGAGGAGAGACAGGGUGAUGACAGAGGGAGGAGAGACAGGGUGAUGACAGAGGGAGGAGAGACGGAGUGAGGACAGACGGAGGAGAGAC
rnacentral:lncRNA from 1 species